rnacentral:rRNA from 1 species
GACGAACGCUGGCGGCAUGCCUAACACAUGCAAGUCGAACGACGCUUAAGUGCGUAGUGGCGAACGGGUGAGUAACGCGUGAAGAACCUACCCCAUACAUCGGGAUAACCAUUGGAAACAAUGGCUAAUACCGAAUAUGCUCACAUUGCGGCAUCGCAGAGUGAGGAAAGGUCCGCCGGUAUGGGAUGGCUUCGCGUCUGAUUAGGUAGUUGGUGGGGUAACGGCCUACCAAGCCUACGAUCAGUAGCCGACUUGAGAGGGUGAUCGGCCACACUGGAACUGAGACACGGUCCAGACUCCUACGGGAGGCAGCAGUGAGGAAUAUUGGGCAAUGGGCGCAAGCCUGACCCAGCAAUGCCGCGUGAGUGAAGAAGGCCUUCGGGUUGUAAAGCUCUUUAGUGAGGGAAGAACAAAAUGACUGUACCUCAAGAAUAAGCCCCGGCUAACUAUGUGCCAGCAGCCGCGGUAAUACAUAGGGGGCAAGCGUUGUCCGGAAUGACUAGGCGUAAAGGGUGCGUAGGCGGCAUAGCAAGUUAGAAGUGAAAGGUAUCGGCUCAACCGGUGAUCCGCUUCUAAAACUGCUAGGCUUGAGUGAUGGAGAGGUAAGUGGAAUUCCUAGUGUAGCGGUAAAAUGCGUAGAUAUUAGGAGGAAGGCCAGUGGCGAAGGCGACUUACUGGACAUUAACUGACGCUGAGGCACGAAAGCGUGG